CUACGGGGUGCAGCAGGCGAGAAAACUUUGCAAUGUGCGAAAGCACGACAAGGUUAAUCCGAGUGGUUUCUGCUAAAGGAACCUUUUGACAGUCCUAGAAACACUGUUGAAUAAGGGGUGGGCAAGUUCUGGUGUCAGCCGCCGCGGUAAAACCAGCACCUCAAGUGGUCAGGAUGAUUAUUGGGCCUAAAGCAUCCGUAGCCGGCUCUGUAAGUUUUCGGUUAAAUCUGUACGCUCAACGUACAGGCUGCCGGGAAUACUGCAGAGCUAGGGAGUGGGAGAGGUAGACGGUACUCGGUAGGAAGGGGUAAAAUCCUUUGAUCUAUUGAUGACCACCUGUGGCGAAGGCGGUCUACCAGAGCACGUCCGACGGUGAGGGAUGAAAGCUGGGGGAGCAAACCGGAUUAGAUACCCCUGUAGUC
rnacentral:rRNA from 1 species